UUACAUAAAGUUCCAGGACAGCCAGAAC
rnacentral:piRNA from 1 species